rnacentral:sRNA from 1 species
UUCUAAUUUGUGUCGGAUUUAUAAAAUGAACGUGGGUAUCAAUUCCACCGGCUGUUACAAUCAUUCCUUCACCAGCAAUAAUUUCCGUUCCAGCUCCGAUCACAAUGUCCACAUUGUCCAUAAUCAAUGGGUUACCAGCUUUUCCAAUCCCAGCAAUUUUCCCAUCGCGAAUUCCAAUAUCCGCUUUGUAAAUGCCGGUAUAGUCUAAAAUGACAGCGUUGGUAAUGACCAAAUCCGCAAUUCCAUCACCUCGUGUUACAAGAGGGUGUUGCCCCAUUCCGUCAC